rnacentral:rRNA from 1 species
AUGAACGCUGGCGGCGUGCCUAACACAUGCAAGUCGAACGAAUCAAUGGAUGUAGCAAUACAUCGAUUGGUUAGUGGCAAACGGGUGAGUAACACGUAAGUAACCUACCCUUAAGACUGGCAUAACUUCGAGAAAUCGGAGCUAAUUCCAGAUGUGUUCCGACAAAUAUAAAUUCGUCGGAAUAAAUCUUUCGAUUUAUCGGAAAGGCUUGAGGAUGGGCUUGCGGCCUAUCAGCUAGUUGGUGAGGUAAUGGCUCACCAAGGCUAUGACGGGUAGCUG